rnacentral:rRNA from 1 species
UACAGAGGUCUCAAGCGUUGUUCGGAUUCAUUGGGCGUAAAGGGUGCGUAGGCGGCGCGGUAAGUCGGGGUGUGAAAUCUCGGGCUUAACUCCGAAACUGCAUUCGAUACUGCCGUGCUUGAGGACUGGAGAGGAGACUGGAAUUUACGGUGUAGCGGUGAAAUGCGUAGAUAUCGUAAGGAAGACCAGUGGCGAAGGCGGGUCUCUGGACAGUUCCUGACGCUGAGGCACGAAGGUCAGGGGGAGCAAAACGGG